GAUCUCGACGUCCAGGGCCAGCUUGAUGUUCAUCAGCUCCUGGAACUCCCACAGCUGCCGGGCCAGGUCCUGCUUCGCCUUCUGCAGAGCUGCCUCCAGCUCGCCCAUGGGAAAGCAGGCUUGCUUUCAGAGAGCAGCAGAACUGUUCUGAUUUGACUUCUGCACCAGAGAGCAGAGGACCGCUUGGAAUUGCUCCUCUUGGACUGCUUUCAGUUGUGUUUCUAACCGGGCUCUGUUGCACCCCAGUGCUUCCAACUGCUUCUUCAAGUUCCCAAUACAAGCCUCCAACAUGGGCACGAUGGUGUUCCUGCCAUGUUUCUGACCCUUCAGAAAGCUCCACUUGGUCUCCAGCACCUCGUUCUGCUGCUCCAGUAAUCGCACCUGAAUCCCAGAGAGCAAAAUAGGAAAUGAGAUGAGGGUUAAGUGGCUGUGAGAGGUGAUGUCCAUGCAACAGCCAUAAAGUGCACCCCUUAGUACACCUGAAUACAGUGUUUCCUGCUCCACUGUUCUUUUGUGCAUAUGGUUUUUGUGGGUAAGCCUUGUGGAAAUGCAUAAAACCCGUAACACGUCUAGAAAAGAACACCUUGGUGCUCAACUGACAUUCUGAAGUUGUCCUCAGUGUCUAAAACAGAGCUGUAUUUCCAGGAUUUCUCGCCCUUUCCAUGCUAGACCUCCCUGGGACUGGAGCUGUGGGGGGGUUUCUCUGCUCACCUUCUCGAUGAAAGAAGCAAAUUUGUUGUUGAGGGUCUUGAUCUGCUCCUUCUCUUGGUACUUCAUGGUCUGCACGUUGGGGUCGAGCUCCAGUUGGAGUGGUUGUAGCAGUUUCUCAUUGACAGUGAUGGGUACGAUGGUGCACGGCCUGGAGGAUCCACCAACCCUGUAGCCAAAGCCAGCACCUCUGCAGCCCAAUCCUGCUCCAGCAGCACCUAAACCAUAUCCACAUCUCAUAGGAGGACACCUUCCUACAGCUAUUCUGGGCCUGGAGGAUGCCACACCGCUGAGGCUCCUGGUGCUGAAGGAACCCAACCCGCGCUGGCGACACAAGACUCUACCAAAGCUUUGCCCAUUCCUGGAGAGAGCAACAGAGGAUGAGCUGAAAUUGCCAACACGGCCAACAUUGGUGCCAUAGGAGCAGGACAUGGCUGCUGGUGGGGAGGGCUAGGUGCAGGUGGUGUGCUGGGCCCCAGUGCAGUUCCCUCUGCCUCCAGUGCAGCACCUUCUUCCUUUUAUUUGUGGUGAAAACGGGGCGAGGCUGCAUGAAACUUCCACAAGAUGUUUAUGAUGCAGAGUAGGAGCUGCUUAGCAUACGCUGUGCUCACCAAUGGAGAAAGCAGAUUUGCCCCAUACCGCAAUUGAAGACUGCUGUUAAUUCAAUGGGGUCAUCCUGAAGUCUUGUGUAAUCACAGUGAAAACCAGGACUUGUGCUAGUGCUCCUUGUUUUCAGGAAUGUGAAAGCUUUUGCCUUGUUAUAGGUUGGAUGAAGAUGUCAAGUUCUCACUCAUCCAAGUGCUUCCCUAGCUUUAUGUUCUGCUGCUACCUCAGCUUGUGAGUAAGAGCUCUGAAGGAGAAUGCAGCUGUAUAUUAGGAACUAUUUCUUCUCUGACAGAGUGGUGAUGCAUUGGCACAGGCUGCCCAGGGAGGUGGUGGUGUCACCAUCCCUGGAGGGGUUCAAGAACCAUGGAGAUGUGACACUUGGGGACAUGGUCAAUGGGCAUGGUGGGAUGGGUUGGGGUUGCACUGGGAGAUCUCGGAGGUCUUUUCCAACCUGAACGAGUCUGUGAUACAACCAGAUGUUUAAUAAAUGAUAUCAGUAAUAAAUGUGAAUUCAUUGAGAGUUAGCAAACAAAGCCUUGAGUUCAGGUUAGUGAUAGAUGACCGCAUUUUUGUUGCCUUUCCAUAGGCAAAGCCAACAUCUUUGAAUGCCUGGCAAAUGUCAUUGGGACCAGGUGUGUUUGUCAAGGAGGUUUUUCUGCAGAUUCCUGGCACAAGAGGAACGUUGCUGGGCAGAGCAGAGAAGGGUCUGAUCAGCUGGGGUACACAAAUGUCCCAGAGGGCCACGUUGAGCUACAAACUGACUGACUGACUGAAGGUGGGAUUCAACUCCUUUAAUUAAAUCUUCCCAAAAGUUGGCCUGUAGGUCCCUCUAGAGUCUCUGGAGAGUGAGAUGCAUUCUCACCGCUGUCCCUCCAUCAACGUUCCCUGCUGUUCCUACCAAAAGCCCUACAGAAGUGUUUGAGUUGGUCUGAAAAGCCCUCAGCUCUUGGAGCAGAACACACUCCUUCCCUGCACACCUUUGCCUGUUAAUUUCCUCUCCAUGCCUGCAAGAGGAAGAAAAAACAUAGUUUUACUCCUUUUUAUUCAACCUAUGCAUGAAUUUGAUCUCUUCCUCUUGCCUCACCUCCAAAUGCCCAAUGCCAACAUGGAGACAGAUGCCAACACAAGCUGGACAUCGCUGGUGACAUUGCAUCUUGUGCAGCUCUGCCAACUUAAAAUGAACCAGAUCCAUUCCAGCUCUAGUUUUGGAGCUUUCAUCUUUUUUUUUUUUUCUUUCUUUCUUUUUUAAACUUCCUUUUUCCUGUAGUCUUCCAUGAUACCUUGCAUAUUGCUCAGUUCUGUUGCCAGCUUGGAUCUUUCCCCUCCCAGAACAUCCUGCUGCCUCUUCCAGUUGGCAAUAGAAGUUCCCAACAUUAGCUCAGCGUUGCUGUUGUAACACUUCUGCUCCUGCAGAAAGCCCCAUGUGGUCCCUCCAGCCCCUCAUUACUCUGCUCCAGCAGUUGGAGCUGAAAUUCAGAGAGUAAAGAUUUGUUACUGGUGAUACAGAAGGGAACAACUACAGUCCCAGAAGCGGCAAAUUGAGGGAUGCAAUUAGUAUUGUUCAGGACAGUAGUGGGUGAAUGGAGAAAGCAGACACCCAAAGUGUGUCAACUGACAUCUUCUUAUGAGAAGGCUGUUCUGAAAAAUGUCUCUGCUGUUACUGUAUGAAAAGCCCUAAGUUACUCAUUACAGAGGUGGGAUAAAGGAGGGAUAAUUCUGUUUCAGUUUAGGAUUCAAGGGAUGUAAAAAUGAGGCUUAGAGAACCAACUUCUCUGCAGGUAGCAGCAAAACUGGGUCCAUCUGCAGCCUGAGCUUCUUGAUGGGGAUCUGGGCAAUGGGUGUGCAGACCCUGAGGAGUCCACCAACCCCACAGCCAAAUCCAGAGACUCCAGCCAACCCCAUGCCAGAGGGAUCAUGGCUAUAUCUCUGCAUUGCCAUCCAGGCUCAUGCUGCUGACACAUCCCAGCCCUGGGCACCCUCUACCACCAGCUCCAUGGCACAAGAAUCAGUGGUGGAUCUCCUCCCGCUCCUGGGGAUCCCACAAGAGCAGGAGAUGAAACUCCUCCUGCUUUAGGUGAGGUUGGCAAGCCAUCGUGGCUGCCUUGAAGGGGAACAAAGGUGGAGGGAGGAGUAGGCAAUGCACGUGAGAUGGCCUCGUUGGAAACUGUGGGAUGAGAAGCAGAGCUUUCACCCUCUUUUCUCCCAGAAAAAUGGGCUUUUGCUGCACAACCAUCCCCAAAUGAUCAUUUUAAACCACAUUUGUGAGCUUGGGGUAUUUGGUAAUAUCCCACUCGUCUCCUUUGCUGAAGAGAAACUUGAGCUGCUUUUAAGCACACAUCUAUCGUUGGGUUCUGGGCUGUGUUUCUAAUUUGAAUGGGAGGGAAUCCUUGGCCCCAUAACAACUGCAUUUGCAAACCUCCCUUUUUUUAUAAUGAGCAUGAAAGAGAAAAGCAGAACCAAUCAUUUGAUGUUUGCAGGGCACCAGGCUGUAGAAAGUAGCAUUGCUCUGUUUAAUGUGUGUAAAUAGAAGAAUCCACAUUAAACUUCUUUGCCUCUCUCCCUCUUCCAUACAAAGGUUGGGGGGAGCUAAGAACAAUGGCACUGAACUAGGGAUGGUUUCCUUGUGUUUUUAACCCCGCUGAUGUUACUGCCUCCAGUUUGACUGGUGGGGUGGGGGCUUACAGCCAGGAUUCACCCCCAUUCAGCUCCCUGGAAACUGAGGAUUUGGGGUUUCCUGCUGAAGCUAAUGGAGAAAGAGAUGUACCCUGUCCUAAAACAUCUUCAUCCCUCCUGCUGGUGAAGGUCACAGAGGUGUCAGACCAUGAUCUCCCUCCCCAGAAAGGCAGAGCAGAGGGUGCUGUGCCCUUCUUUUCAGUUGCUCCUCACUCUCCUCUCUUGUUUUUCUGGUUCCACACUAACGAUUUAAGCUCCUUACUUACUCAAAUCCAUUACGCAGUGCGUCCCCCGGGGGUAUGGUAGCAGACACUGAGGCUUGACAGAAGUUUUUCCAAAGUACAUAGAGUGGAUGAGAAGGAGCAGCUCCUCCUAAAGAGUUAAUGAGCUGAGCCGAAACCUUCAGAGACUUUCCAUGGGGUGGAAAUUACCUCCUGGCUUCCAGCAGCGCUGGAACCCAACCAUCAGGAGUAAGGGGUGCUAUUAUUUCAGAGAGAGAAAGCAGCACUUAAGCGCACACUUAAAAUUAAUCCUCGUUUUUUUCGGCAGAUUUUCUCUCCUGGAGAGGAACCCACAUCAGUAAGAAGUGGUCAGUGUGCUCCUGGUUUAAAAAAGCAGUAGAAAUAAUGGUAAUAAUAAUAAGAAAAGGCAGAUGCCAUGCAAGGUGUAGAGUGCUGCUAUUUAUACAGCAGCUGGAGAAUGCCAGGUCAGGUUAGUCCUUGCUGAGGUCUCACGGUUCUGGGUUGCCUUGGGUCUUAAACUCUUCCCACGUGGCCUUCAGCAUCAGUGAUGGCUCAUUGAUAGGGAUGUUUGGAUAGGAGGAGCAGUGUUCAAUUGCAAAGAAAUCUGGAGAAGUAGUAUGCUCCUUACCCAGCCCUACUCACUCAGCUCCUGAACUCUAUCAGGGAUUCAGAAGUGAAUGUCUGACAUGGAGAGCAGUCCUGAUCCCACUCGACAGAUAAUGACAACUAUGCCAGCAUGGAUGGGUGAAAUGAGCCUCACCUUGCUAAUGAAGGAGGCAAAUCUGCUGGUGAGGGCUUUGAUCUGAUCCUUUUUCUCCUAAUGCACUCACUGCACUGGGGCUGAUCUCCAAGUUAAUAUUGACCAGGAGGUUUGGGUUGACCACAAUCCCUUGAAUCCCUCCAGGGCCACAUCUUCUUCCAAACCCAAGCCCUCCAUCACACCCACUAUGGCUGCACCCUGACCUGGCAGAGCAGUGCCCUCUGCUCCUGGAAAUCCUCUUGCUUCCCUCUGGGCUGGGAAGGCUCCUGCUGCCAAACCCACUGCAGAUCCAUCCCACACUUCCUCCAUUGCUGUGGGACAUGGAGAAGGAGCUGAAGGUGCUUUGGGGAAUGGGCGCAGUGGUGGAAAGAGCACCAAACCCCUCAGAGGUCCUGACGUGUGGCUAGCUAACUUCAGUGUGGCUGCAGAGGGAUGAGAUGGGAGAUGGACAAAGAUCUCCAGGUUUGGCCCUGGAGUGACCCCUGCCUUAAAUCCUUCUGUGUUCUGGGCUUGUGCAGAGGGCUGGGUGGUGGAAUCAUAGACUCAUUAAGGCUGGAAAAGACCUCUAAGAUCAGCAAGUCCAACCAUCAAGCCAUCACCACGGUGCCCACUAACUCAUGCAGCUCAGUGCCACAUGAAGUGUAUCAGCUCUCAGUGCUGCACCUGGACACACUUCCAGCCCAUUAAUCACCCAGCCCUCUGGUGCUCCAUGUUGGCCACCUCCAGGCUCAUAAAAUUAACCAGCCUGUAUUUUUCAGGGUGCUGAUCUCUUCUGGGAAAAUGUAUAUCUCUACGUCUGAUUGUUCCCUUUGGGCUUGCUUUUAGCUUGGUGUCAGUGCCCGUUUAGUUUAAAGCAGAUGGAACUGAAGCUGCCGCAAGGGGAGUGGUGGAGAUGUGGAAAAUGCCAAUUUGAUGGCUUUGCUAAGGGAAACCUGGCUUUUCUUCCAGGAGCAACAUGUGGUCGAGGCAAGGGGCAGCUGGAGGUCAUGGUGUGCUCCUCUGCUUUGCAAGCAUGAGUUCUUGUGAUGAAGGGGAUAGUCUGGGAGGCACUUCUGCCCUUCUGCUUGCUACAGGGGAAGCCUGGGUGCUUUGCUUGGCCAUAAUGCUGGAUGCUGAGGUAUCUACAGAGAGAAAGCAUGCUGGCUGUAGAAAUGCAGCUAUCAGGUGCCUGUUUGCUACUGGAUAGCGUUUGCAUGGCCUCCAGCAAGCCAAAUUCUGUUCUGCGUGGAAGUGGAAAUCAUGUCCAGAGAUGCCAAAGAUGGAAGGGUAGGUGUUGAAGAAUGGGCCAUUUCCUUAUGGUAGUGCACUGUUGUGCUCAGAUCUGGAGGAUUAAUGAGAAGUUGGGCUUUUUUAUCUCUUUCUCUAGGCCAGGAGUUGAUCAGGGAGUCACGUUUGCCUCCAGCACUUCGCUUACCCAGCAUAGCUGGGUCACACUGGACAUGGCUCUUCCCUAAAAGGAUGAGUCUGGGGCUUUGAUGAGUUUUUGCAGUUUCUAAUUAUGGUGGUACCAAUGCCAGCAUUUUAUCAACCCCUGCAGCUAUUGCACGUACAGAACACAUGGGCUGAACUUCUUGGGAAAACUGAAUUAUGUCCCUGCAUGAGUCAUCACACAAAACCUUGAAAAAUUACAGGGGUUUGGGGGUGAUCAAGCUGGCAUGACACUGCUGAGAUGCCACGACAUAAAUUAGGAGAGAGGGAUGUUUUCUCUGGUGUGUGCAGGCAAGAGAUGGAAAUUUCCCUUUCCCUUGGAGUUUGAUGCCAAAAAAUCUUGCUGGACAAAUGGGAACGGGACGCCCCCACUCCUUGUUCCUGUUGGGUGUAAGUGACAGCCAUGGAAGGAGAGGUCUCAACUGUUAUGUGUGUGACUUGUGUUCACCUUCUGCUAAAGAGAUGAUAAUGCCACCAUGGCCAUGUAAAGUCAUUGAAAUUAAAAGGAAAAUGCAACAGAAUGAAUUUCACAUGCCUUUUAUUAGACAAACGCUGGGAUGUGAGGCUUUUGGAGCAUCUAAGAACAAACAGGAGCAAGGCAUUUACAUAAAUAA